UUGUGUGACAGAACUGCGUGUCUGAGCUGCACCAGACGUGAUCUCUGCUCAUCAAGUCUUCACUCCUCAAUUGACGACCGACACAUACCUCAACCACUGCAGAUUAACCAACCACUCAUCAGUAAAGCACAAAAUAAGAGAGUUUCCUACACUGAAGAUCUUCCUCAUUCAACCAACUCCUGCCAACAACUGUGGGUGUUCAAGGCAUCCAAUCACACUUUGGCUAACUGAAAAAAGAA